rnacentral:rRNA from 1 species
GUGCAAGUAGUCUACCGUAAACGUUUGGUUUACGUCGACAUCGUAGUUGACGUAGUCAACGAAGAACACCACAUCGUAGAUUAACUCGUGGUAGACCAUCAGGGUAUACUUCAACCACUAGUUCUCGACGUGACAGUAAACGUGGUCUCUACGGUCGCAACACUCGAGGUAGACCAUCAGGGUCUAGUUCUCGACGUCACAGUAAACGUGGUCUCUAUGGUUGCAACACUCGAGGUAGACCAUCAGGGUAUAAAUCAACCACUAGUUCUCGACGUGACAGUAAACGUGGUCUCUACGGUUGCAACACUCGAGGUAGACCAUCAGGGUAUAAAUCAACCACUAGUUCUCGACGUGACAGUAAACGUGGUCUCUACGGUUGCAACACUCGAGGUAGACCAUCAGGGUAU